rnacentral:rRNA from 1 species
UACGUAGGGGGCGAGCGUUGUCCGGAUUUAUUGGGCGUAAAGAGCUCGUAGGCGGUUCGGUAAGUCGGAUGUGAAAUCUCCACGCUCAACGUGGAGGGGCCAUUCGAUACUGCCGUGACUCGAGUCCGGUAGGGGAGUGUGGAAUUCCCGGUGUAGCGGUGAAAUGCGCAGACGAUCGGGAGGAACACCCGUAGCGAAGGCGGCACUCUGGGCCGGUACUGACGCUGAGGAGCGAAAGCGUGGGGAGCGAACAGG